rnacentral:rRNA from 1 species
UACGAAGGGGGCUAGCGUUGUUCGGAAUUACUGGGCGUAAAGCGCGCGCAGGCGGUUUCUCAAGUCAGUGGUGAAAGCCCGGAGCUCAACUCCGGAACUGCCAUUGAAACUGUGAGACUUGAGGACGAGAGAGGGUGAGUGGAAUUCCCAGUGUAGAGGUGAAAUGCGCAGAUAUCGGGAGGAACACCAAUGGCGAAGGCAGCUCUCUGGUACGUGACUGACACUGAGACGCGAAAGCGUGGGGAGCGAACGAAGG